rnacentral:rRNA from 1 species
GAUGAACGCUGGCGGCGUGCCUAAUACAUGCAAGUCGAGCGAACAGACGAGGAGCUUGCUCCUCUGACGUUAGCGGCGGACGGGUGAGUAACACGUGGAUAACCUACCUAUAAGACUGGGAUAAACUCGGGAAACCGGAGCUAAUACCGGAUAAAAUAUUGAACCGCAUGGCUCAAUAGUGAAAGACGGUUUUGCUGUCACCUAUAGUUGGAUCCGCGCCGCAUUAGAUAGUUGGUAAGGUAACGGCUUACCAAGGCAAAGAUGCGUAUCCGACCUGAGAGGGUGAUCGGCCACCCUGGAACUGAGGCACGGUCCAGACUCCUACGGGAGGCAGCAGUAGGGAAUCUUCCGCAAUGGGCGAAAGCCGAACGGAGCAACGCCGCGUGAGUGAUGAAGGUCUUAGGAUCGUAAAACUCUGUUAUUAGGGAAGAACAAAUGUGUAAGUAACUAUGCACGUCUUGACGGUACCUAAUCAGAAAGCCACGGCUAACUACGUG